rnacentral:rRNA from 1 species
GACGAACGCUGGCGGCGUGCUUAACACAUGCAAGUCGAACGGAAAGGCCCUGCUUGCCGGGUGCUCGAGUGGCGAACGGGUGAGUAACACGUGGGUGAUCUGCCCCUUAUUUUGGGAUAAGCCUGGGAAACUGGGUCUAAUACUGGAUAGGACCAUGCUGUAGGUGGUGUGGUGUAAAGAUUAGUUUCGGUAAGGGAUGAGCUCGCGGCCUAUCAGCUUGUUGGUGGGGUAAUGGCCUACCAAGGCGUCGACGGGUAGCCGGCCUGAGAGGGUGGACGGCCACAUUGGGACUGAGAUACGGCCCAGACUCCUACGGGAGGCAGCAGUGGGGAAUAUUGCACAAUGGGCGCAAGCCUGAUGCAGCGACGCCGCGUGGGGGAUGACGGCCUUCGGGUUGUAAACUCCUUUCAGCCAUGACGAAGCCCUUGUGGUGACGGUAGUGGUAGAAGAAGCACCGGCUAACUACGUG